GACGAACGCUGGCGGCGUGCUUAACACAUGCAAGUCGAACGAAGAGCGAUGGAUGCUUGCUUCUAUCAAUCUUAGUGGCGAACGGGUGAGUAACGCGUAAUCAACCUGCCCUUCAGAGGGGGACAACAGUUGGAAACGACUGCUAAUACCGCAUACGAUCUAAUCUCGGCAUCGAGGAUAGAUGAAAGGUGGCCUCUACAUGUAAGCUAUCACUGAAGGAGGUGAUUGCGUCUGAUUAGCUAGUUGGAGGGGUAACGGCCUACCAAGGCGAUGAUCAGUAGCCGGUCUUGGAGGAAGAACGGCCAAAUUGGGACUGAGAAACGGCCCAGAAUCCUACGGGAGGCAGCAGUGGGGAAACUUCCGAAAUGGACGAAAGUCUGACGGAGCAACGCCGCGGGAGGGAUGACGGCCCUCGGGUUGUAAAGCUCUGUUAAUCGGGACGAAAGGCCUUCUUGCGAAUAGUGAGAAGGAUUGACGGUACCGGAAGAGAAAGCCACGGCUAACUACGUG
rnacentral:rRNA from 1 species